rnacentral:rRNA from 1 species
UUUAUAUUGGAGUAGUAGUAGAUAUGAUCUUGAAACUCAAAGAAUUUGGCGGUAUUUUAGACUGUUCAGAGGAAUCUGUAUUGUAAUUGAUAAUCCACGAUGGACCUUACUUAAAUUUGUUUUUCAGUUUGUAUACCGCCGUUAUUUGAAAAUUUUAUAAGAAUUAUUAAUUUUCAUAGCUUUUAAUUAAAAAGUAAAUCAGGUCAAGGUGCAGCUUAUAUUUAAGUAUUUAUGGAUUACAAUAAAUUUAUUUAAACGGAUUGGAGCAUGAAAUUUAGUUUUAUGAAGGUGGAUUUGAAAGUAAAUUUUUAAAGAUUAAAAUAUUGAUUUUAGCUCUAAAAUAUGUACAUAUCGCCCGUCGCUCUUGUUAAUAAUAUAAGAUAAGUCGUAACAUAGUAGAUGUACCGGAAGGUGUAUCUAGAAUGACAAUUUAAAGCUUAAUAAGGAAAGUAUUUCAUUUACACUGAAAGGAUUGUUGUGCGAAUCAAUAUAAAUUGAUAGUAUUUAAUUAUUAAUUUUAUUUUUUUUUGUUAUAUUUAUUAGAAAUAACUAUAUCGUUAUUUGUGUUAUAGUAUUUUAUAAAGAAGUAAUUUUAUUAAUAAUAGUUUAUUAUGUAAUUUGAAUGAAUUUUGAAAUAGUUGAAAAAUAUAUAUUUAUAA